UCUUCAGCUCUGAACGGCGGGACGUGCGCUGGAGGCCUUUUGUACUCUUUGGGCCACCGUAGCCGGAUCCUCGCUCCGUUCCCUCUAUUUAUGCGCCUGCGCGCUGCUGGAACGCCGUCCAUUUCUCCAAGGGCGUCGUUGUAGAGCUGUCAAGGAGAAAAACUACCAUGGCUUCCAGUUCUUUGACAAAACCUCAGAUGCGUGGCCUUCUGGGCAAGCGUCUGCGAUUUCAUAUUGUUGGAGCAUUCAUUGUCUCCCUGGGAGUUGCAGCUUUCUAUAAGUUUGCUGUGGCUGAACCAAGAAAGAAGGCAUAUGCAGAUUUCUACAGAAAUUAUGAUUCUAUGAAAGAUUUUGAGGAGAUGAGGAAGGCUGGUGUCUUUCAGAGUGCAAAGUGAUUUUGGAAUAUAAAGGCAGACUGUUCCUGAAGGAGCAUUCCAACUGCCAUAUAAUUUCUUUGGGUUGAGUUCCAUGGAAGUGUGUCACUUACCUGUGUUCCUGCACUAUGAACUACUAAUAUCUGGGCUAAGGAAUAGUUUCUCAUGAUAAAUAAACGAUUAACAAAUA